rnacentral:rRNA from 1 species
GACAGAGGGUGCAAACGUUGUUCGGAAUUACUGGGCGUAAAGGGCGCGUAGGCGGCCACCGCAAGUCGACUGUGAAAUCUCCGGGCUUAACCCGGAAAGGUCAGCCGAUACUGCGGGGCUAGAGUGCAGAAGGGGCAACUGGAAUUCUCGGUGUAGCGGUGAAAUGCGUAGAUAUCAGGAGGAACACCGGUGGCGAAGGCGGCCCUCUGGACGAGUACUGACGCUGAGGCGCGAAAGCGUGGGGAGCAAACAGG